UACGAAGGGGGCUAGCGUUGCUCGGAAUUACUGGGCGUAAAGCGCACGUAGGCGGCUUUCUAAGUCGGGGGUGAAAUCCUGGAGCUCAACUCCAGAACUGCCCUUCGAUACUGGAAAGCUCGAGUCCGGGAGAGGUGAGUGGAACUGCGAGUGUAGAGGUGAAAUUCGUAGAUAUUCGCAAGAACACCAGUGGCGAAGGCGGCUCACUGGCCCGAUACUGACGCUGAGGCACGAAAGCGUGGGGAGCAAACCGG
rnacentral:rRNA from 1 species